CCUACGGGUGGCAGCAGUGAGGAAUAUUGGUCAAUGGCCGGAAGGCUGAACCAGCCAAGCCGCGUGAAGGACGAAGGUGCCAAGCAUUGUAAACUUCUUUUGUCAAGGGACAAAAUCAGGCUCGAGAGCCUGACAGAGGGUAUUUGAAGAAAAAGCAUCGGGUAACUCGGUGCCAGCACCCGCGGGAAUAUGGAGGAUGCGAGCGUGAUCUGGGUUUAUGGGGUUUAAAGGGUGCGUAGGCGGACUGUUAAGUCAGCGGUAAAAGCCUGGGGCUCAACCCCGGCGAGCCGUUGAAACUGGCUGUCUUGAGAUGUCGCAGGGUAGGCGGAAUGCGCGGUGUAGCGGUGAAAUGCUUAGAUAUUGCGCAGAACUCCGAUUGCGAAGGCA
rnacentral:rRNA from 1 species